rnacentral:ncRNA from 1 species
CUUUGGAGAAGUUUACCGCUCAAAAAAGGGUUGCGUAAAUGCCGAAGGGGCAAGCGAAAGCCAAUCUCUCAGGCAAAAGGACGAAG